rnacentral:lncRNA from 1 species
AUGACCCACCAAAGGCAGAUCCACACGCACCUCCCGGGCAGCCAGCUCAGAGCGGGGUGGAAGGCGAUGUUUGCUGAGUCACAGCAGGGCCCGAGGCGGGGGCUCAAGUCCUCAUGUCCCUGCUCCCACCCCAGACCAGGUGCAGCUCCCGGCUCCCAGCUGUUGUGGGUAUUUGGGAGUGAACCAGUGAACAUAGCUAUCCUUUCACUCUUUCCAAUAAAUAAAAAGCUAAAAAAACGAAACCAACCCCCUGCGAUCACACACACACAGGACACUCCAUGUGGCACCUGCUGGGGUCGCUCUCAGGAAAUCGGCCAUCCCUCCCUCCCCAGGAAACCAGGGGUGCAGCCCUGCACCUGCUCCCGACUCUUCCCAGGGUGGCGUCUGCAGUCCCCACUCAUGGGCUCACCCACCACCACAUCUGCCUCUGCCCCUUCUCACCAGGACGGGGUUGUGACACAGCGGGCUCACCAGGACCCGGGCAUCCUGGCCCUCAUCUGGGAGCAUGGGCCACACUCCCCUCCUCCCCUUCCAGGGCAUGGGCACCCCUCCCUUCCCAGCCCUCCAGGCCGGGCCCCACUACCCUCAGUGCCCGAUAGGGCCAGACCCUGUGCCACUACUUGUCCUACUGGGCCUAGCCCUGCUCCCCUUUUUGCCCUCCAGGGCCGGGCCCUGCUCUUCUCAAAGCCCUCCAGAGCUGGACGCCAAUCUUCUCCUCACCCUUCAGGGCCUGGGCCCCACUCCCUCCUCGCCCUCCAGGGCCUGGGCCCCCACCAAUUGCACCUCGCCAAGGCCGGGCCCCUUCCCAAUGCAUCCCAACAGGGAAGGGCCACAAUAUCCUCAACACCCUAUAGGGCCAGACCCUGCUCCCCUCCUAGACCUCCAGGGCCAGGGCUCCACUCCAAUUCUCACCCUCCAGGGCCUGGGUCGCACACCCCUCCUCACCCUCCAUGGCCUGCGCCCCAUUCCCCUCACCCUCCAGGACAUGGGCCCCACUCCAAUUCUCUCCCUCCAGGGCUCAGCCCUGCUCCCAACCUUGCAAUCCAAGGUCAGACCCCACUCUCCUCCUCACACUUCAGGACCUGGAACCUGCCCCCCACACUGCUCUCCAGGGCUGGGCCCCACUCCUCUCAAGGCACCCCAGGACCAGACACUGCCCCCCUCCUCGCCCUCCAGGGCCUGGGCACGCUCUGCUAG